GAUGAACGCUGGCGGCGUGCCUAAUACAUGCAAGUCGAGCGAACAGACGAGAAGCUUGCUUCUCUGAUGUUAGCGGCGGACGGGUGAGUAACACGUGGAUAACCUACCUAUAAGACUGGGAUAACUUCGGGAAACCGGAGCUAAUACCGGAUGAUCUUUUGAACCGCAUGGUUCAAAAGUGAAAGACGGUCUUGCUGUCACUUAUAGAUGGAUCCGCGCUGCAUUAGCUAGUUGGUAAGGUAACGGCUUACCAAGGCAACGAUGCAUAGCCGACCUGAGAGGGUGAUCGGCCACACUGGAACUGAGACACGGUCCAGACUCCUACGGGAGGCAGCAGUAGGGAAUCUUCCGCAAUGGGCGAAAGCCUGACGGAGCAACGCCGCGUGAGUGAUGAAGGUCUUCGGAUCGUAAAACUCUGUUAUUAGGGAAGAACAUAUGUGUAAGUAACUGUGCACAUCUUGACGGUACCUAAUCAGAAAGCCACGGCUAACUACGUG
rnacentral:rRNA from 1 species